ACCUACGCGUUAGUGGGUGAAGCGGCAUCCUUUUAUUUUGUUGCUUAUCUAUUUUAGCUUCCUCAAGACAAAACGCUACAACAAAAUAAAAGAUAUAGCGAAACACACGACCUCGU
rnacentral:sRNA from 1 species